CGAGGCAAUUCCAAGUUGUGUGUUCUUAAGAGCCAAGUCAAGUUGGGUCACAAGUUUCCAAGUCAAAUCUCAAGUCAAGUAAAAAGGAAAUCUAUAUUUGCAACGACUUGAUCAGCUACAAAUAUUUGUCUAUUUAUCAAGGCUACAGGACAGGACAGCCCUUUUCAUUAUUUUGUCUUUGACAUGUUUUUAUUAGCCUAUGGAAUUGUAAAAUAUGGACCUUCUAGCAUGAAAUCAGCAGAAGGAAAGGCAGGUUGACAAUCAGCAGAAGGAAAGGCAGGUUGACAAUCAGCAGAAGGAAAGGCAGGUUGACAAUCAGCAGAAGGAAAGGCAGGUUGACAAUCAGCAGAAGGAAAGGCAGGUUGACAAUCAGCAGAAGGAAAGGCAGGUUGACAAUCAGCAGAAGGAAAGGCAGGUUGACAAUCAGCAGAAGGAAAGGCAGGUUGACAAUCAGCAGAAGGAAAGGCAGGUUGACAAUCAGCAGAAGGAAAGGCAGGUUGACAAUCAGCAGAAGGAAAGGCAGGUUGACAAUCAGCAGAAGGAAAGGCAGGUUGACAAUCAGCAGAAGGAAAGGCAGGUUGACAAUCAGCAGAAGGAAAGGCAGGUUGACAAUCAGCAGAAGGAAAGGCAGGUUGACAAUCAGCAGAAGGAAAGGCAGGUUGACAAUCAGCAGAAGGAAAGGCAGGUUGACAAUCAGCAGAAGGAAAGGCAGGUUGACAAUCAGCAGAAGGAAAGGCAGGUUGACAAUCAGCAGAAGGAAAGGCAGGUUGACAAUCAGCAGAAGGAAAGGCAGGUUGACAAUCAGCAGAAGGAAAGGCAGGUUGACAAUCAGCAGAAGGAAAGGCAGGUUGACAAUCAGCAGAAGGAAAGGCAGGUUGACAAUCAGCAGAAGGAAAGGCAGGUUGACAAUCAGCAGAAGGAAAGGCAGGUUGACAAUCAGCAGAAGGAAAGGCAGGUUGACAAUCAGCAGAAGGAAAGGCAGGUUGACAAUCAGCAGAAGGAAAGGCAGGUUGACAAUCAGCAGAAGGAAAGGCAGGUUGACAAUCAGCAGAAGGAAAGGCAGGUUGACAAUCAGCAGAAGGAAAGGCAGGUUGACAUUCAGCAGAAGGAAAGGCAGGUUGACGUGCUCAGUGUAGAUUUAUUUACGGGUCUUGGUGAUCCAAUGGUGAAAGCUCCAUAUCAUACAAAAUAUACAAGUCCAUUAACCAAAUAUACAUGGGCAAUAGACCAAAAGAAAUAGCCUCUAUAUCAGGCUUAACCUGAACUAUCUAAACGGACACUGGUAGCUGGCAAGACUGUACAGCUUCCCCUUGAGAAAUCAAAUCCAUCAAACAAGAGCUCAAACUGGUAGGCCUACAUAAUAUAAACACUUGGACCCGAGACCAUACCUUUACCCAAUUGGCAAUUGCAACCAUUAAACUGGUUCUACAACAUAAAAGGCUAUUUCCACAUAUAUUGUUACAUUGGUACAUUCAUCUUAAUCCGACAAUUAUAUUUCAACACCAUGCAUACAAGGAACAGUAAUGUUAUCUUAUUCAGUGUUCUGACUCCAAAGCGUGGAGAGCAGGCCAUGUAGCUUACU